rnacentral:rRNA from 1 species
CCCUUAGAUGUUCUGGGCUGCACGCGCGCUACACUGAUGUGUUCAUCGGGUUCGACCUUGCCCGGGAGGGUUGGGUAAUCCUUUCAAAACACAUCGUGAUGGGGAUAGAUUAUUGCAAUUAUUAAUCUUCAACGAGGAAUUCCUAGUAAGCGCAAGUCAUCAGCUUGCGUUGAUUACGUCCCUGCCCUUUGUACACACCGCCCGUCGCUCCUACCGAUUGAAUGGUCCGGUGAAGCGUUCGGACCGUGGCCUUUGGACGGUUCGCCGUCUGUUGGCUGCGGGAAGUUCGUUAAACCUUAUCAUUUAGAGGAAGGAGAAGUCGUAACA